UACGUAGGGGGCAAGCGUUUGUCCGGAUUUAUUGGGCGUAAAGAGCGUGUAGGCGGCUUGGUAGGUCCGCUGUGAAAACUCGAGGCUCAACCUCGAGAUGUCGGCGGAAACCACUUGGCUAGAGUCCGGAAGAGGAGAGUGGAAUUCCUGGUGUAGCGGUGAAAUGCGCAGAUAUCAGGAAGAACACCUAUGGCGAAGGCAGCUCUCUGGGACGGUACUGACGCUGAGACGCGAAAGCGUGGGGAGCGAACGGG
rnacentral:rRNA from 1 species